CUCUUUCAUUUCUGAUUUUAGCUACUUGAGUUUUCUCCUCUCUAUUUUUCUUAGUCAGUCUAGAAAAAUGUUAGGAAAACUCGCUGCCAGAACUGAGAACGGUCCUACGUAAUGGAGAAGAAGCUCAGACCAAAGAAAGAGACAGUCUGUUCCAGUCUGGCAGACAGUCAAAGAUUUGUUCUGGAGCAGGUGCUGAGAGAGUCGUGGGCAACAAAAAGGAAUUGUUUGGGAUUCCUGCAAUCCGGUCAACACUUUUAAGGUGGGGGAAAGCAGGGGAGAUGUUCCUAGCAACAGCAGUUAUCCUGGUCCUCCAGUUACUGUGUCCUACAACUCACUACUUCUUAGUCAUGGACCCGAAAUACAUUUUCAUGACAAUAAGGUCAUGGAGGGAUAUGUGGUACUCCACAGAGUGCCUCAGGGACCUAGGCUGUUGCUAGCUCUGACAUCUUACAGUUGCUCCACCUGGAGCACAUUGCAGGUUGGACAGCUGUAAAUGGACCACACAAAAGUAAGUUUCCCCCUGCAACUUGAUCAGGAGCUAGGCCAAUUUAGGAUUAGGCUGAUGCAACUGAGCUCCGUUCAUGUGCCAUUAGCUUCUAGGACAUCUCCUGGCUCCACAGAGAAUUUGCUUUGCUCUGUCUUCUUGCUGAUUUGGACGUUGUUAUUUAACCU
rnacentral:lncRNA from 13 species